GAUGAACGCUGGCGGCGUGCUUAACACAUGCAAGUCGAACGGAAAGGCCCUGCUUUUGUGGGGUGCUCGAGUGGCGAACGGGUGAGUAACACGUGAGUAACCUGCCCUUGACUUUGUGAUAACUUCAGGAAACUGGGGCUAAUACACGAUAGGAUCUACUGCUGCAUGUGGGGGGUUGGUAAGUUUCGGCGUUUGGGGCUGGACUCGCGGCUUAUCAGCUUGUUGGUGGAGUAGUGGCUUACGAAGGCUGUGAGGGGUAGCCGGCAUUGGAGGGCUGCCGGGCACCAUGGUCCUGCGGUACGGAGCAGUCUCCAAGCGGAGGCAGUGGUCGAGAGUAUUGCACAGCGGGCGGACGCGUGUUGCGGAAAUGUCGCGAGCGGGAUGACGUGCUACGGGUUGUAAACCGCUUUCGACUGAGAUGAGGCGUGAGUGACGGUAAUGAGUAAAGAAGCCACGGCUAACUACGUG
rnacentral:rRNA from 1 species